AGGAGGAGGAGGAGGAGGAGGAGGACAGAUGGAGGAGGACCCUGUGCAGACGCAGACUGAAACGAAUGAUGACAGGAUUAGAAAAAGUUAAACAGACAGAGAUGAUUUUCAAAAACAGCUCUAAUAUUAGCCUUUAAUCAAAUCUAAAUGUGUUAUAUGGAGAAUAACAUACCUCACUUAUUCUUUUAACCGGCUCCACGCCCCCAUGGACGUCACAUGUCGGCCAAUGGGGAUGUCAGUGAAAAAUAUGCCUCUCAGAUCCUUCUUGUUUUGGAUUUUGGUGAAAGCAGCGGCAGCAGCAACAGAAUUCAUGUGUUGCCUCCUUCGCUUAAAUGUUAAUUCUGGGGAAAAACAUCCUCAUCGUUUUUACAAAUAAAAAAAUAAAUCGUAAGUCAGUGUCCCCUUCCUCCACGUGGAGGUGCCCUUGAGCAGGGCACCGACUUCAUCCCAUCAGUGAACUGGGCAGUGGAGACAGCAGAAGGCUGAGGUUGUAGUACAAUAACAGUAGGCCAGUGUCUUUCAGGAAACUUAUAGAGACCUUAAGCCUGAUCAUAUAUGCAAACUAUACCUCACAUAUGGAGGAAUGUUAGAUCAUUUUAGAUUCUUUUUCAUGCAUAUAGAUUAUUCUGUGGAGCAGAUCACAAAUUUAAUAUGAGCUGAAAUUUUAAUGUCUAUAUUCUACUUUGCAUUCUGACUAAAAUAUUUCAAGGGAGACACUUUAUUUGUCAUGUAUAAGAAACCAAACGAGGGCUUCACUGUUACUAAGAACUUCAGAUCAGUAAUCUCCUGUAGUUAUCUCUUCCAGAUACAAAGCUGUGAAAACAGUUUAGUUCAGAAGUUUGUUAUUGUAUAGGUUAUAUUUUUAUUUAUUUAUUUUUAUUUUAGCCCUUCUAGCUAUAUGGUGGCUCCUGCUUGUCAACAAAACAGAAAUCAAAAACAAAUAAAGCAGAAAUUAAAUUUAGAAAUUAAUUUCAGCGAAAUGCGACUGGUGGACAACAUGGAGUUAGGACAGUGACAUUAAGAUUUAACAUUGAAAACAAAACGCACACUGAAGAGGGACACAUUGGCACUGAAAUAUGUGUAAUGUAAAAGUAUUGGUACUGAAAUAAUAAUAUUAUGUUGGUCACGUGUGUUGUGUGGUCGCGUUGUGUGUCGUCAUUGACCUGAGCCUGCGGGAAGAGCGCAGAGAGACGGAGAAACGAAGUCGGAAAACAGAUAAAAACCAACAAUUGAAUCGUCCCCUCGGUUUGUCAGUACGGUGAUAAACUUAAUUACUGAAGAAGUCUGAAUGCAAAAACAAGCUUUGGAGUUGUUUUUGUUGAACAUGAGUGAGGCUGGAGGCUGAAUACACCUGCGGCGCGAAGCUAAGGCUAAGGAGCGAGCUAGCUAGUGGCUAGCGUUAGCAUUUGCGUUAGCGACGAGCCUUAGUAUUAGUCUUUCUCUUUUAAUGACAUUUUUUGACCUUAUUUCAAUUAUCAGUCGUUUUUAUCGCAUGGGUAAGAGUGUGUUUGUGUUUCCCUGACAUGAGUUGUGAACCUCCAACGUGGACGGGUGAAAACACUACAAGGUCUUCAUUGUCUGUUUAAAUCCCUGUUGUACUCGUUUACAGUCACUUUACCGGGACAUUUUGCAUCUCUUUGUAAUUUGUGUUCCACCCUGGUCAUUCCAACUCAGUUUAUAUCUAUCAUAUGUCUAUCAUGUCAUCAUCAUUUUGUUUCUCUUUGUGAUCAAUCACGUUUAAUUUGUAAUUGUCAAGGCUGUAGUGUUUUCACUGUCGUGUUUAUGGGUUUUAGUGGUAAAACGUUUCCAUUACCAUUUUGUAUUAAUUAGUUAAUCAGUGUUUCAUGUGUUGUACUUGUGUUUUGCAGGUCUACUUGUUCAGCUGUUGGAGUUUGGACAGAAACACCAACAUCAUACCAACAGUGUCCCCCAGGAGGAGCUGGAAAAUGUUGCCGGGGAGAGGGAUGUGUGGAAUGCGCUGUUUAGCCUGUUGCCAUGCGACCUGAUUCCGGAAUAAGCGUGAAGAACUGAGCUGAAGGGUAAAUCCCAGCUCAAACCUAAAGAGACAUCAUCCCCGAUCAAAGAGACAGGGAGAGAAACAUUGUCCAAAACUUGAUGUCACCACCUCGUCCCCGAUGUCCAUAAGCACAGAGACAUGGUCCAUGAUCAGAGAGACAUUGUCCACAACUCACAGUGACGUGCCAGUCACAGUAAUUACAGAGAAGACAACAGCAGUGGAAAACCUGAAGUGGAUGACAGAAAACAAAAGUGUUACAAAGCCGUUAAUUAGAUAUAAGACUUCCAGCAUCUAACUGCUGUAAACAGUGUUGGUUUCCUGUUCAAGUGAAAACACUGUUUUUUUUCUACCAUCUGUAAUGUAGUCAUGAGAACAUUUUCCAAAGACUAAUAUAUCUUUGGAAAUUGUUCUCUCUCUCUCGCCUGUGAAAACGUUCAACUGCUUAUGAUACAAUUAUUAAUAAAAUAAUUGUAUCAUAAGCAGUUGAAUGAUCACAAAAAUGCUUACUGGACCUGUUCAUCUUUUGAAAAUGUGCUCAUAACUACAUUAAGUGUUUCGUUGUGGUCAAAUGUCUGUCAUCAUCUUUGCUGUGAUUUGUUAAAUCUUGUCUGGAAUAAAAUCAAUAAAGAUUUCUUCCUAAACUUUUGAGUUGCAUUUCUCUAUAUUGAAAGCAAUGUUAUACAAAUCAUUGUAUUGUAUUUUAAGAAAAAGGUCAUAAUUCUCAUGUUUUUAAAGGUUUUAUCCUUUUACUAUAAACCUGUUUUUUAAGGAUUUAUUUUAAGUUUUAAGUUUUAACAUGAUUUAUCAGACCUAUUUUUUUAAGGUUUUAUAUACAUCUUUUAAAUAUAUUAUCCUUAUCUUUUUAGACCUAAGGUGUUUGUUCCAGACAAGAGGAACUGUAGCUGAGCUAAUGACAGAGUC